UACGUAGGGCGCAAGCGUUGUUCGGAAUUACUGGGCGUAAAGGGCGCGUAGGCGGCACAGCAAGUCGGGAGUGAAAGCCCGGGGCUCAACCCCGGAAUGGCUUUCGAAACUGCUGAGCUAGAGUACAGAAGGGGCAACCGGAAUUCCCAGUGUAGCGGUGAAAUGCGUAGAUAUUGGGAAGAACACCUGAGGCGAAGGCGGGUUGCUGGGCUGAUACUGACGCUGAGGCGCGAAAGCCAGGGGAGCAAACGGG
rnacentral:rRNA from 1 species